rnacentral:rRNA from 1 species
AACGAACGCUGGCGGCAUGCCUAACACAUGCAAGUCGAACGAGACCUUCGGGUCUAGUGGCGCACGGGUGCGUAACGCGUGGGAAUCUGCCCUCUGGUUCGGAAUAACUCAGGGAAACUUGAGCUAAUACCGGAUAAUGACUUCGGUCCAAAGAUUUAUCGCCUGAGGAUGAGCCCGCGUCGGAUUAGCUAGUUGGUGAGGUAAAGGCUCACCAAGGCGACGAUCCGUAGCUGGUCUGAGAGGAUGAUCAGCCACACUGGGACUGAGACACGGCCCAGACUCCUACGGGAGGCAGCAGUGGGGAAUAUUGGACAAUGGGCGAAAGCCUGAUCCAGCAAUGCCGCGUGAGUGAUGAAGGCCUUAGGGUUGUAAAGCUCUUUUACCCGGGAUGAUAAUGACAGUACCGGGAGAAUAAGCCCCGGCUAACUCCGUGCCAGCCGCCGCGGUAA